CCAAUCAGAUUUCAGAAAUAAGUUUACAGUUUGUUUCACCAACUAUGGUGUGGUGCAGGGGUGGCUGGUGACUUCUCUUGUGAAGGAUUCAAAAAUUUGUGUUUGGGGUGUCAUGUGUGUUGCUCAUCAUGUCAAAAUAUGUGUUUGUUGCGUCAUGUGAACCAUGUGCAUCAUGCAUCGUGCCUGCUGGACACACAUCGAAAGGAUUUGUAAUUAAAGAGGCGCUCACAAAAUACUUGCAAGACACUACACUAAAUUCAUGCCACACACAUGACAGGCUACAUGUUGUGAUGAGAUUUGCAUCAUGUGCCCUCGAUAAAGAAGUCACCACGCGGCCGUCACUGCGUAAAUGGCUACUGGAUUUUAUUUAUUUGGGGUCUAUGGGCUACAGUUUUCCAAAAUAUACCCUUAUGAAAAUUAAAUAAUUAAAUUAAAUUAAAUGGUUUACUACAGUUUAAACAAAAAAAAAAACAUACUCUAGUAAAACCAUGGUUUUGCCAAUAGUAGGCCUAAUCAAUACCAAAAAACAUUUUACUGUACCACAAAAAAACAUGCUUAAUUUUCGUUAGCUAUGCUGUCUCUUUUUUCAAUGGGCUAUUAUACUUUCAUGUAGAAAAUUAACCAUGGUUUUACUAUAGUUAAAACAAAAACAAAAAACAUAAUAGAACCAUGGUUUUGCUAGUAACCAAUACACCAAAAAAACAUGUUUACACUUUUACCACAAUAAAACCAUGGUAAAUUUUCGUAAGGGCUAUAUGCACAUUGUGUUUUGGGGUAUAUUUAUGCAGAUACAGGCCCAUACAAAUUCUAAACCGUAGACAUUGUGUGUGUGUGUGUGUUUGUGUGUGUGUACGUGUAUUGCAAUAAACUCGAAUUAUAUGUGUAUCCUACAGAAAAUGCAGUAUUAAUGCUAAAAAGUGAUUUGUCCUGCAUCAUCACUAUGUUGUAUUCGUUUAAAAAAACGGCGCCAAGAAAGAAAGGACAUGCGCAUUGUUCUCCUCCUGAGCCAGUUAACGUAGAGCUGGUACAUUGCUGUCUUCACUGGAGUGCUGCAAGCUCGAAGUGUGGCUGCAGCACUUCUCGCUCGUAACGUGAAACUUAAAAACACGCCAAGGAGUGGAUGCAAGUGAACUAUCAAUCUACUGAAACAGAAGCGGGAAAUGUAUUCGAAGACGAAAAUGCUCGCGCGACCUGUGCGUCAGACCCGGAUAAACGCACGCGAGCUGACAAAAUCCUGAGUAGCUGUUAUUCAACAUAAACACAUUUCCGCACACAUGAAGAUGGAUGACGAUAGUUCAUCUUUAAAUGAAACUUAUGUUUAUCAGCUUACCCCCAGGCCAUCCAAGAGAUGCUCUUAAGAACAACGCCCUGAUGUCCAAGGUCAACCAGCAAGAAGCUGAGAAGGCACUGCCAAAAUGGUUUACUGGGGCAAGGGACAGAGGAGGACAGAGAGCAUCAAGAAUGCAGAAAAGGAUGUCUGUUUGAGAAAGGUUAAAACUACAGUUGUUGAUUUGAACUGUUGUAGUUCUUUAAUUUUUCUUAAAGGAAAACACAAUCAUUUUUCAAUAUUUACCAUGUUCUUCCCUCAACUUAGAUGAAUUAAUACAAACCUCUCUUUUCUCAAUGUGUGCACUUAAA